AGCGAACGCUGGCGGCAGGCUUAACACAUGCAAGUCGAGCGGGCACUUUCGGGUGUCAGCGGCGGACGGGUGAGUAACGCGUGGGAACGUGCCCUCUGGUUCAGAAUAACUCAGGGAAACUUGAGCUAAUACCGGAUACGCCCUUUUGGGGAAAGGCUUGCUGCCGGAGGAUCGGCCCGCGUCUGAUUAGCUAGUUGGUGAGGUAACGGCUCACCAAGGCGACGAUCAGUAGCUGGUCUGAGAGGAUGAUCAGCCACACUGGGACUGAGACACGGCCCAGACUCCUACGGGAGGCAGCAGUGGGGAAUAUUGGACAAUGGGCGCAAGCCUGAUCCAGCCAUGCCGCGUGAGUGAUGAAGGCCUUAGGGUUGUAAAGCUCUUUUAUCCGGGACGAUAAUGACGGUACCGGAGGAAUAAGCCCCGGCUAACUUCGUG
rnacentral:rRNA from 1 species